rnacentral:lncRNA from 1 species
CUUUUUGAAAGAAGGAUGAUGCGAAUAACAUGUUACUUUGAAUGAGGUGACAACCCAGCGUGUCUCGUUGAAAGACGGACAACCCAACUUGAACUUAACAUGUCAUUUGAAGGGAGAUGACAACCCAAUCUUGUCUCUUUGAAAGGCGGACGACCCAACUUGAACUUAACAUGUCAUUUGAAGGGAGAUGACAACCCAAUCUUGUCUCUUUGAAAGGCGGACGACCCAACUUGAACUUAACAUGUCAUUUGAAGGGAGAUGACGACCCAAUCUUGUCUCUUUGAAAGGCGGACGACCCAACUUGAACUUAACAUGUCAUUUGGAGGGAGAUGACAACCCAAUCUUGUCUCUUUGAAAGGCAGACGACCAAACUUGAAC